GGCUCAGUGGUCUAGUGGCAUGAUUCUCGCUCCGGGUGCGAGAGGUCCAGAGUUCGAUUCUCUGCUGAGCCC